GCCUACGUCACAAAGAAACAGCCGUGUCGGAGAAAGGCAGCCGGCUGGGGGAGGAACCAAAAGGAGGAUCUGCUAGACUCUAGAGCGGCUCUGUUGGGCAAAGGAAUUCUAGCAGCGCUUCCGACUCCCCGUGAAGCGUGUGAGAAAACCAAUACACGGAAACAGAGAGUACCAUGGAGAUGUUGUGGUAGAGCGGCCGCUUGUUAUAAAUCAGCACAGUUUCCUGACAUUGCGUGGUGCCGGUGCCUGGAAAAAGCCGUAGUCUUCCAUUAGGAGGAGAAAAAAAAUCCAAAAGGCAUAGCAGGCUAAUACUUUUAUUAAAACCAACUAAACUAUCCCAAAUUUAUAGCAUGGGAAAACUUUGACAAGCGGCUUAUAUCACUAUGUGGCACAGCUGUCCUUCACAUGAAAUGCAAUAUAUUUCUGCAUAUAUGACAGUAAUUCAACAGACCUCCCUAUCCAAGGAAAAGAAGAAAUAUUCCACAAGGGGUGAGUCCCUUUCUUAGAAAAUGCAAGAAGAUAUGUCCUCUAAAAAGACUUCAUUGGAAGGGCAUUCAACUUGGAUAUGAGCCCCAGACCAGAACUAAACACUACAGGGGAUACAAUGUCAUGGCCUCGCCUGUUGCCACCCUAUCUCCUUCUGUAGCGACUCAGAAUCAGAGAUUGAGAAGGUGGAACUGGUGUCAGCGGUCCCCAUCCUGGAUCCGACUAACAUAACGGAGAGUAGGGAGGCCACUGAGCUGAGGAAGCCCUGGGACAGGAAACCCUUGAGGAAGCCCAUUCAGGGUCAGAGGCCCCUGAGGCGGCACUUGUGGAACCCAAACCUGCCACAGAGCCAGCCUCACCUCCAUCAGCACACCAUAUCGAGAACCUAUCCCAGAUACUUCUUAAGAGUAAGGUUGCCAACGAAUCUGGAUGUGUUGAAUCAAAAGAGAAGAUUUUGAAGUUCCUUGUGAAGAGGAUUUAUUCCAUGUCUUCAAAAGUUUUUUCCAACAUGGUUCUGGAAGCACAGUUAAAUUAAGAUAUGGUUGAUGUUCAUGGGAGACAAUAUGAACAUAUACAUGGACACUUGAUGAAGCGGUUUGAAACAGCUUAUCACUGGGUUGCUGUCGUUUUGGCACAUAUUAUGGGCUAUAUAGUUUUCUUUUGCUUGGAUGUUGUUCAGUGUAUCUGAUGUUGUUCAUAUUUUUACUUUGUAUGAUCAAUUACUAUUACUAUUUCUAUAUGAUUCUAUGAUUUAUAAUACAGUCAAGGUUAAUAUAUUUCAUUUCUUAUG